rnacentral:rRNA from 1 species
UACGUAGGGGGCAAGCGUUUGUCCGGAUUUAUUGGGCGUAAAGAGCGUGUAGGCGGCCAAUACAGGUCAGCUGUGAAAACUCGAGGCUCAACCUCGAGACGUCGGUUGAAACCGUAUGGCUAGAGUCCGGAAGAGGAGAGUGGAAUUCCCGGUGAUGAGCGGUGAAAUGACGCAGAUAGUCGGGGAAGAACACCAAUGGCGAAGGCAGCUCGCUGGGACGUGGACUGAACGCUGAGACGCGAAAGCGUGGGGAGCAAACUACGG